ensembl:lncRNA
CUAUCUUGUGUCUGUGACUUGUAAGUAGGAACUGGAAUUGUAUUUACACAUCAAAGAUCACGAGAAAGGAGAUAAUGCCUAACAAAAGUAUAAAGAGAAGAGACUAACAAAAGAGGGGGGAGGAACUCUGACAGACCAGUUUCUGGUGGUCUCACCAGCUUGCAAGUAAAUCUUAUUUGUUUUACCUGAGUUUUGUGUCUUUGAGCAUUUCUUUCUGAGAUUUCCCUAACAUUUGGUGCAUUGGCCAGGAAUUGGUAAUGAAGUGGCCCUUUUAGGCAUUGGCCCAAACUCCACUGGAGGGAGUGGCUCUUUGCCUCCUAGAGGGGAAAGAUGCGCCCUUGGGACAAAUUUCCUAGGCUCCUCAACAGGACACAGAGCCUCGCUCGCUGGUGGCAGAUAGCCCAAACCCAAGAUAGAAGACAACAGAAUGAGGGCUACUGCUGUUGGUGCCUCAUCUGUCUCUUUCCAUUGCUGGAACUGGCUAAGGAGUGAAGGGAGUGAAGGAGGAUGGGAGGCGAAGGAGGAAGUGCUUGAAAUUUCUGCGGAUUCAACAAUAAGGCAGAACAAGAGUUAACUCCUAGAAUACGAAUAAGAAACAGUAUCCAGCAAUAUUAGGAAAAAUAUGAUGUCUUCCUUUUUUGCUGGAAAUGGAUCCCAGGGCCUCACACAUGUGAGGUGAACGCUCUAUCACUGAGCUACACCUCCAGCUCUCUUGUUUCUUGAAUUAACAUUUUUGAAAGCAUGCUUAUUUUCCCCAUGUAUUUGUUUUUAACUUCCAUCUCUAAAAUUUUUUAAAAGUUUGAAGCAGAACAUAAACCCAUAAUUCAAUGACAAGUCUCAAACAUUUUUCUAACAAUGGGACAAUUUGAAUGGAGAAUUACCUUCCUUACAGCAUUUAAAAUAUAAGUAUCCCUCUUAAAAGUUCCAGUCUCAAGAGCUACUUGUUUACCUAUUUUUAGUGUUGGGAUAGUGAGUGAAAAUUACAUGCAAGAUUGCACAGGGAGAAAUUAAAUGAUUAAAGUUAUUUAAUUAAUCACAUUUUUUUCUGAUGAGGACAAAGCUGAAGUUCCUUGCUAGUAACUUGACCAGCAUCUCUCAGGUGAUUCAGGACCAGAAUUCAAAUCCAAGUGUGGCUGAUCCCAAAGUCUUUACUCUUUCACUUGGAUUUUUUGACUCUAUCCAGGCUGCUUUACAAUCACUACUCAAAAAGAAAAAUAAAAAAUACUCUGUAGGCCAGGUGCAGUGUUGCAGCACUUGCCUAGCAUGUGUGAGGCCUGAGUUUCUUCUCCAGCUGUACGAACAACAACAACAAGGAUCUCCAUCCUCCACUCUGUGCCCUUGUGCAGAGGGACAGAUUUAGCUGCUUCUGGAAGAAAGCAGGUGCUGAUAUGGUGCAUUGCAAAGGACCCUUCCUCUCCAGCAGUUUUUAGGUUGACAGGUAAUGAGCUACACAAAAGGCCUAUGUGAUGGGAGAUGAAAUAAAGCCAUUUUCUUGAGACUGCCAUGUGCUGUAGUAGAAAAUAUGGGAAAAAAAUCUGCGCUUUGAAAAACAGUUUGAUUUGGGGUCUGAGAUAUUUCAACCAUCACAGAAAGUGUUAUCCUGACCUUUUACCACUUUAAGUUCUCUGCAAACUUCACAU